GACGAACGCUGGCGGCGUGCUUAACACAUGCAAGUCGAACGGAAAGGCCCUGCUUUUGUGGGUGCUCGAGUGGCGAACGGGUGAGGAACACGGGAGUAACCUGCCCUUGACUUUGGGAUAACUUCAGGAAACUGGGGCUAAUACCGGAUAGGAGCUCCUGCCGCAUGGUGGGGGGUGGAAAGUUUCGGCGGUUGGGGAUGGACUCGCGGCUUAUCAGCUUGUUGGUGGGGUAGUGGCUUACCAAGGCUUUGACGGGUAGCCGGCCUGAGAGGGUGACCGGCCACAUUGGGACUGAGAUACGGCCCAGACUCCUACGGGAGGCAGCAGUGGGGAAUAUUGCACAAUGGGCGGAAGCCUGAUGCAGCAACGCCGCGUGCGGGAUGACGGCCUUCGGGUUGUAAACCGCUUUCGCCUGUGACGAAGCGUGAGUGACGGUAAUGGGUAAAGAAGCACCGGCUAACUACGUG
rnacentral:rRNA from 1 species